GACAGAGGAUCAAGCGUUAUCCGGAAUGAUUGGGCGUAAGCGUCUGUAGGUGGCUUUUAAGUCUGCCGUCAAAUCCCAGGGCUCAACCCUGGACAGGCGGUGGAAACUCCAAGCUUGGAGUACCAGUAGGGGCGGAGGGAAUUUCCGGUGGAGCGGUGAAAUGCAUAGAUAUCGGGAAGACACCAACGGCGAAAGCACUCCGCUGGGCUGAUACUGACACUGACAGACGAAAGCUAGGGUAGCGAAAGGG
rnacentral:rRNA from 1 species